AUAAAUCAUACACGCUACCAAUUUUGAUGAACCAUAUUACGACAAUGUCUAUCUCUUCAUCAGUGAUGUUCCUGCUGAAACUGAAAUCCGAAAUAUUUCAAUGCUUAGAAUUCUUGCCAUAUGUGUCUUUGUUUUCACGGCAAUAACGUGCAACGAAUCGGCUAUAGAAGUUGAAAAUCUUUUGAUUGAUGCGUCAGUUAUCUACAAAUAUAAUCAAAUAAAAGAAUUUAAGUGCAAAGAAGGUUUCGUAAACACUGGAUCAAAGAUGGGGACAUGUAAAACUCGAGAUGAUUUUGAAUUUUCAUCCAAAAGUGGUAAACCUUUUUGCAAAGGAUUUAUUUCCACUGCGUAAAAUGAAAGAAGCAUGAACAUUUUCCUGCCUAACUACUAAUAUCAAAUACUACAUAUAUUUUCGUUUGGAAAUAAUGCUUUAUCGAGAUGUUGGGAUGUUGCGCUACAUUAAGAGGAACCAUUUGAUAAAACCGAUGUUUAGCUUACGGAGCUUUGGUUUUAUGCAGAGAAAGUCGGUCAUUUUCAAACAAUAAUCGGAGCUUUGACUGGGGGGAUACUUGUUGGCUUUGUGAUAUUAGUAUUUAAUAUUUAAAUCGCACUGAUACUCCUCAGGUAUGGUGUUUUUAUAAUUGUUCUAUCUAAAUUACAUUUCAUUUAUAACAUAUAUAUGUAGUGCAUAUUUUAAAUAUAUGUUUUUCUUUACCUUGCAAAAUAAAAUAUCAAAGGUUUUCUUUUCAAUUUGUAAAAUCAACCCUACCUUUUGUUUGAACAAAUUAUUAAGUCUUUGUAUUAUUCUGCUUUACGUUAGUAGUAAAAUAUAAAAGAAUGAAUGCACUUUUGUACGUCAUGUUGAACAUUUUCUGCUACCCAUUUUAAUCUUUACAUUACAAUAUAUCCCUGAAUUAAUCUAUAAUUAUUGUGCAAGCAUAUGCUUUUGAUAUUUAUGCCUUGGUUUUUUGUCAAACAUAUUUCUAUAAUUACAGACAAUGCCAUUGAAAAGAACAUGUUUAAGCCUUUAAAUUCCGGAAAUUUGAACAGGACCACCGUCGAAUUUAGGAAUGGGGCUGAGAAGAGUGGAUUAUUUUGUGUUCUACAAGUUGUGCUGGAGAGAAUGAAGAUAGAACAGGAUGUCGCCAUACAUCAGGUGAUUCAGCAGAUGCUGGCAGAUGCGCAGUGUGAGACCAAGCAUCAUACCUAAUGUGGAGCAGUUGAAGUUUUGUUACGAUGAAGUUAUGGAGUUCUUGAACCAAUUAGUGCCUAUUCAACUUUCAAUAAAAGAAGAGGUACAUAGACAAAUCUUAUUGAAUUUGCAUUAAAAAAGUGCGCUCAAACAUAUUUUUGUUUUUUCUCAGAUUGAAUUUUAUAGUUUAUUUUACAUUUAUUUAGAAAUCAUGUUUAUACAUCCAUAGCUUUAAAAUAUAUAAUAUAUAAUAUGUUCUAUUAUC